GUUAACUCUGUAGGAGGUGAUACCACAGAGAUCAAAUACUACAGAGUGGCUGUAGUGAGUCUGGGGCUGCUGUGUGCUCUACUACUGGUUGUCAUUGUAAGGAUGGGCACCCACCUAACUGCAGAGAGAGACCAGCAACAAAGGAAUAUGGACCUACUGCAAUUAAGAAACACCAAACUCACCAAAGAGAGAGACCAGCAACAAAGAAAUAUUGACCAACUGCAAUUAAGAAACACCAACCUAGACAAAGAAAGAGACCAGAAGCAAACGAAUAUGGACCAACUGGAAAUAAAAAAAAAACAAUUGGACAAAGAAAAUCAACGGUUGACAUCAGAGAAUAAUGAUUUGAUGAAAAAAAACAGCAUUUUGACAGCUGAGAAAGAGAAGCUGCAAAACACCUUUCGGAUUCCUCAUGGUUGGAGAUGUUUUGGUUCCAGUUUUUACUACAUUUCAACCAGCCUGAAAACCUGGAGCCACAGCAGACAGCACUGCAUGAAUCUAGGGGGGCAUCUGGUGAUCAUUGACAGUGAGGAGGAACAGAAAUUCAUCUAUGGAUUUGGAAAGAACAUUUGGAUUGGUCUGAAUGAUAUCCAGAGCGAGGGAACCUGGAAAUGGGUGGAUGACAAAGUCUUGAAGAUCGCAGGGUAAGCUCAUUGGAACUUGCUCAUCAUAGAUAAUAAGAUGCUGUAUGAUAUUACUGUAAGUUAAAUGCUAUCCUAAAACUACCCUAUGAUAUCUGUAUCUGUCUGUUUCCAGGGGGUGUCUGUGUCUGAGUC